rnacentral:rRNA from 1 species
GUAGGUGGCAAGCGUUGUCCGGAAUUAUUGGGCGUAAAGCGCGCGCAGGCGGUUCUUUAAGUCUGAUGUGAAAGCCCACGGCUCAACCGUGGAGGGUCAUUGGAAACUGGAGAACUUGAGUACAGAAGAGGAAAGCGGAAUUCCACGUGUAGCGGUGAAAUGCGUAGAGAUGUGGAGGAACACCAGUGGCGAAGGCGGCUUUCUGGUCUGUAACUGACGCUGAGGCGCGAAAGCGUGGGGAGCAAACAGGAUUAGAUACCCUGGUAGUCCACGCCGUAAACGAUGAGUGCUAAGUGUUAGGGGGGUUUCCGCCCCCCUUAGUGCUGCAGCUAACGCGUUAAGCACUCCGCCUGGGGAGUACGGCCGCAAGGCUG